rnacentral:rRNA from 1 species
UGGGGAAUAUUGGACAAUGGGGGCAACCCUGAUCCAGCCAUGCCGCGUGAGUGAUGAAGGCCUUAGGGUUGUAAAGCUCUUUCGCACGCGACGAUGAUGACGGUAGCGUGAGAAGAAGCCCCGGCUAACCUCGUGCCAGCAGCCGCGGUAAUACGAAGGGGGCUAGCGUUGUUCGGAAUUACUGGGCGUAAAGGGCGCGUAGGCGGCCGAUCAAGUCAGAUGUGAAAGCCCUGGGCUUAACCUGGGAACUGCAUUUGAGACUGGUUGGCUUGAGGACCGGAGAGGUGGGUGGAAUUCCCAGUGUAGAGGUGAAAUUCGUAGAUAUUGGGAAGAACACCGGUGGCGAAGGCGGCCCACUGGACGGUUACUGACGCUGAGGCGCGAAAGCGUGGGGAGCAAA